GACGAACGCUGGCGGCGUGCUUAACACAUGCAAGUCGAACGGAAAGGCCCUGCUUUUGUGGGGUGCUCGAGUGGCGAACGGGUGAGUAACACGUGAGUAACCUGCCCUUGACUUUGGGAUAACUUCAUGAAACUGGGGCUAAUACCGGAUAGGAGCUCCUGCUGCAUGGUGGGGGUUGGAAAGUUUCGGCGGUUGGGGGUGGACUCGCGGCUUAUCAGCUUGUUGGUGGGGUAGCGGCUUACCAAGGCUUUGACGGGUAGCCGGCCUGAGAGGGUGACCGGCCACAUUGGGACUGAGAUACGGCACAGACUCCUACGGGAGGCAGCAGUGGGGAAUAUUGCACAAUGGGCGGAAGCCUGAUGCAGCAACGCCGCGUGCGGGAUGACGGCCUUCGGGUUGUAAACCGCUUUCGCCUGUGACGAAGCGUGAGUGACGGUAAUGGGUAAAGAAGCACCGGCUAACUACGUG
rnacentral:rRNA from 1 species